rnacentral:rRNA from 1 species
UACGGGGGGGGGCAAGCGUUGUUCGGAAUUACUGGGCGUAAAGGGCUCGUAGGCGGCCAACUAAGUCGGAUGUGAAAUCCCCAGGCUUAACCUGGGAACUGCAUCCGAUACUGGAUGGCUUGAAUCCGGGAGAGGGAUGCGGAAUUCCAGGUGUAGCGGUGAAAUGCGCAGAUAUCGGGAGGAACACCGGUGGCGAAGGCGGUUCUCUGGGCCUUACCUGACGCUGAGGAGCGAAAGCGUGGGGAGCGAACAGG